rnacentral:misc_RNA from 1 species
UCCAGGUUAUCCCUGGCGGUCUCCUGAGAGUGCAUCCUUACGGAUUAGCAACACAGGACAAGGGUUGCGCUCGUUGCGGGACUUAACCCAACAUCUCACGACACGAGCUGACGACAGCCAUGCAGCACCUCGACUAGUAUCCCUUGCGGGAGAACCAGUGUUUCCAGGAGCUUACCGCAGCCGUUCGAGCCCAGGUAAGGUUCUUCGCGUUGCGUCGAAUUAAACCACAUGCUCCACUGCUUGUGCGGGCCCCCGUCAAUUCCUUUGAGUUUCAACCUUGCGAUUGUACUUCCCAGGUGGAAUACUUAAUGCGUUAGCUUGGAUACUGAUUUUAUAAAAAACCAACAUCUAGUAUUCAUCGUUUAGGGUGUGGACUAC